rnacentral:lncRNA from 1 species
AGUUAGGAAAGACAGAACACACAUAUACGCAACAAGUUAUAGAAAGCAGGUUUAUUACUCACAGACAGGCAAUGAGGGACAACAGAAGCCUAGGAUUUAUCACCAGCCAGUCCUCCUCAAGGUUCAGGAAAGCUGCCUGGAGGAGAAGGAGUCUCAAAUGCACGGGCACCGCUUGCACUGCAGCCUGAGGAUCCCCAGAAAGCAGCAUCCCCACCCUCAGGUGGUAUGCUCUGGGACAAUAGGAAUGGCUGGGUUACAGCAUUAAAGUACAUUCUGUUUCUAGGGCAGCAUGACAACAGAGCCCCAACUGUCAGGCCAUUCUCCCUAUCUCAGCAUGUUACGUACCCAGCCGUUCUAGUGAUUAUUGAAAACUACAAGCAAGAAGGGUGCUGGGAGAAGGUCAGUUGGAUGCCUUCUGGAGAACUGUCCUUCCAAGGUGGAGGAGACUCUGGAGUGCACAAAGGGCUGAAGUUACCACAGCAUAAAAAUGCCAGGAGUUUAGGAGCUACUGAGCAAAUCAAAGACUGAUGCAGAAGCAAACACCUUCACAGAGCAUUUCUAUUCUGUUCUAGCCUCUGGGCAGAUCCAUCUUGCUCGCUCUUUUUAUUUCAUGCAUAUUGAUUCUAGGACUGUUUUGUAUAGAUAUCGGCUGUAUCUCCUCAUAGAAAAAAGUGAAGGCAUAUAGAUGUGCAAUUACACUAGUUUAGCAACACAGCAUGAUGUACACAGUGAAUAAAACACAUUCUUCACCGGAGGUUUGAGCUUUCAGCAAACAGCCUGCCCUAAUUUGCCCUAAUGUUCUGUCCUCUGAGCGAUGGCAGUGAUGAGCAGAUAAUGGCACAGGGGGCUCCAGCCGAGCUGAAUGGAAGCAUACUGAGUUCAAAGCACUUUUGCUUUAAAGCAAACCCCUCAUUAAGAAACAUGCAAUGCAAUAUUGACUAUGGUAAGGAUGGAGGCAAUGGCGAAUGAAGACAGCAUUGGUAAAAAUAGCACACAUUUACUCCCAGCACCAGUAUUUAAUCCAUUAUGAAGUCAUUUCUUUCCCUUUUUCUAAUUCAACAUUCCUUUUAAAAGCCUCCUCCAACGUCAUUCAAUGAAAGCAUCUGUGAUUAUCUGAGUAGCAGGCCGCAAAGCUUCAGAUGAAAAAAGUGGUUAUUCCGGCGGCAGUCCUAGGAAGCCCAGCGCCCACUGCUCUUCCAGCCAAGAGGCCACCUUUGGAUGCUGUCUGAGACCUGGUUCCUCCUGCUAUCACACUUAACCUUUAUAUGAAGUGUUCUCCUUCAUUUAACUGUGCUAUAAAAUAAGAGACUUCAAUAAAUACAGCACCUGCAC